rnacentral:rRNA from 1 species
AACGCGAAGAACCUUACCUGGGUUUGACAUGCACAGGACGCCGGUAGAGAUAUCGGUUCCCUUGUGGCCUGUGUGCAGGUGGUGCAUGGCUGUCGUCAGCUCGUGUCGUGAGAUGUUGGGUUAAGUCCCGCAACGAGCACAACCCUCGUCCUAUGUUGCCAGCGGGUUAUGCCGGGGACUCGUAGGAGACUGCCGGGGUCAACUCGGAGGAAGGUGGGGAUGACGUCAAGUCAUCAUGCCCCUUAUGUCCAGGGCUUCACACAUGCUACAAUGGCCGGUACAAAGGGCUGCGAUGCCGUGAGGUUAAGCGAAUCCUUUAAGGCCGGUCUCAGUUCGGAUCGGGGUCUGCAACUCGACCCCGUGAAGUCGGAGUCGCUAGUAAUCGCAGAUCAGCAACCGCUGCGGUGAAUACGUUCCCGGGUCUUGUACACACCGA